rnacentral:lncRNA from 1 species
GUGGGGCCCAGAGAUCUGUUUUAACCAGUCUUUCGGGUGAUUCUGAUGUGAGCUCAAGCUGGAGAAUCACUGGUCUCUAGAACCGUGUUACACAAAGUUGCUGCCGACCAGCAACAUCAGCCUCACCUUGAGUCCCACCCCGACCUCCUAAUUCGGAAUCUGCCUUUUAACAAACUCCUCAGUUGCUUCUUGGGCACGUUAAAGUCAGAAGUGCUGAUCCAGAGAAUGUCUAAAAUCUAGUCUCAGAAGUGAAGGAGGGCCUUACAUCCAUCAAACAGCAGAUGGGAGUAAAAUAGUAAUUCUAAUGCAUGUGACACAGGCAAAGCUGGCAUAGAGUGAAGAAGAAAGCUGCCGUAUUGGUAUUCUACCACCUCCAUCAAUGGGCGUGCCCCAAUCUGCAAGGGAUGCUGAGAAAGCAAGUGCCUGGCAAAAGAGAAUGAGGUUGUCUUAUUGGUUCUUGUACUUAACUUUACCCCUUGGGGAUUGGGGCAGGGCCUACUUCACUGAGCCUGUUGUCAUCUGAACAGAAUCAGGGUCUAUAACUAAGGAAGAAGGGAGCAGGCAAUAGCUAUUGGUUUAGUAGCCAGUGGCAUCCAGAACAGGUGAUUACUAUCCUACUAUUGCAGCACCAAGAUUGCAUUGACAUGUUUGGGAACCACAAAACUGGUAGACUCCAAGUCAACAAAACUCCAGAGGUAUGUUCCACAUGAGGACUAUGGAAUUAUCACAGCCUGUAAUCUGUAGUUAUUUGAAAAAGUGCAAACUAAAAUUUUCCCUUGUAGAAUUCAUCUAGUUAAAGUGGACUUGGUUCUCUGACUCCUGCAAAUUUGAUCAGGAUUUCUUCUAUUUUUCUCACCUGAAAUCACCAAUAAAAAUGAUGAGGGCUAUGGCUGAAGCCCUAUGGUAUACAAUAUGAGACCUCUCCCAGCUUACCUUUAAUUGGCAUUUUUGGGACAUGUUUGCUUACCCAGUUAUCAUUAUACUCAGUAAUGCUGUCAUCCAUUCUACAUUUUUCCAAAAACAGGUCAUAAAAGAGUUUUUCAAAUAUCUUGCUGAAAUCCAGAUAGCCUCUAUUAGAGCAUUCCCUCACCAACGUCUAAAAGAGAUCAAGGAUGUUAUCAAAAAAGGGAACAAAGUUACUUUUAUAGAACUUGUAUUUAGGUGAAACUAUAUUGGUUCCCAGUUUCUACCAAUUCAUUUUCUUUUUUUUUUUUGCUUUUUUUUUUUUUUUUUUUUUUUUUUUUUUUUUUUGUGAGGAAGAUUGGCCCUGAGCUAACAUCUUUGCCAAUCUUCCCCUUUUUGCUUGGGAAGGAUUGUUGCUGAGCUAACAUCUGUGCCAAUCUUCCUGUAUUUUGUAUGUGGGAUGCUGCCACAGCAUGGCUUGAUGAGCAGUGCUAGGUCCACACCGAGGAUCUGAACCUGUGAACCCUGGGCCGCUGAAACAGAACAUGCAAACUUAACCACUAUACCACCAGGUUGGCCCCUACCAAUUAAUUUUCUAAGUGCAUAUUAUCCAUCCCUUUUAUUCAUUCAUUCUUUUAUUUUUAUAACAGCUUUAUUGAGCUAUAAUUUACAUUCCAUAAAACACACCCUUUUAAAGUGUUUGGUUUAAUGGUUUUUAGUAUGUUCACAGAGUCAUGCAAUUAUCACCACAAUGUUAGAACAUUUCAUCAUUCCAAAAAGAAACCCCUAAGAAAAUUUUAUGCUUCAAAGCAAGUGAAAAUACAUCCACAGAAUGGGAGAAAAUAUUUGUAAAUCAUACACCUGAUAAGAGUCUAAUAGCUAGAAUAUAAAAGAACUAUUACAACUCAACAAUAAAAAGACAACCCAAAUAAAAAUGGGCAAAGUAUCUGGAUAGACAUUUCUCCAAAGAAGAUCUACAAAUGGCCAAUAAGCACAUGAAAAUAUGUUGAAUAUUAUUAAUCAUUAGGGAAAUGCAAAUCAAAAACAAAAUGAUAUGUCACUUCAUACCCACUAGGAUGUGAGUUAAUUUUUGUAUAUAGUGUUAGUAGAGGGUCCAACUUCUAUUCCUUUCUGUGUAGAAAUUCAUUUGUCUCAUCACCAUUUGUUGAGAAGACUAUUCAUACCUAGUUGAAUUGUCUUGGCACCCUUGUCAGAAAUCAAUUCACUGGUAUAAGUGGGUGAAUUGUAUAGUAUGUGAAUUAUACCUCAAUAAAG